AAUAUAUCGCGAAAUAUCUCGAUAUUUCGAAGUUUUCGGACGAAAUAAUCAUGAUAUGCGGAGAAAAUAUCGGAGGUUAAAAAAAAAAACGAUAAUUUCGGCGAUAUUUCGCCGAUUUUAUCGAAUUUUUAGUCCUUGAAUUUCUAACCAAGGCAUGCACUUUCUCCCAAAACCUGAGUUGCAAUUCAUUGCUCUCACCUAACAGUCUUUAACAUUCAUUGCUUUUUCAACCAACAUCGUCAUUCAUUGCUCUUCACCAAACACUACGAUUUCACUUUCUGUUCCUUAUUAUGAUCGUGGAGAACACGCUCUCACUAGAUUAAUUUAGAUUCCAGAAUAUCACAAAAGAGAAACUCGAUCUCAACAUUUGGGUACUGUGGUAGGGAUACCAGCAAAUAAAGCUGAUUAUCUUCAACUCCAGGAGGUAGCUAGAGAGAAAAUUAGAGCUAGCUCUAAGUCAGUGAAGGCUAUAUUAGCAACAAGAAAGUGAAAGUUAUAGUAGUAACAAGUCCAGGUGGUCCGGAUGCUCUCAAAGAAAUCGAGGUGCCUGAACUAGAACUAAGGGACGAUGGAGUCCUGAUAAAGGUGGCGGCCAUCGCCCUGAUAUUACUCAAAGAAAAACCUCCUCGCGAAAAGAACUCGCGAAAAGAAAAACCUCAAAGACUAGCCUCUCUCUUUCUCACUUAGCUCUCUCAGAUCUCGAUUCUCACUCUCUCCUUCGUCUUCUCGCUCUCUCAAUGCUUCUUCUUAGUCUCUCCCUCUUUUUAGUUUUGAUUUUAGGGUUUGAUUUCGAUUAGGUUUUCCUUCUAUUCAGGGAUGGGGUGAUUGGAUUUUACUCGUCCUCUUAUCCUCGUCAAAAUGACGAACACUGUUCGGUGUUUCAAUCACUGAAAAUCCAGACCUCUCUCUCUCUCUCUCUUUGACUCUCAACCUCCUUCACUGUCGACCGCGGCGAAACGGCGGCAUUCAGUGACUCUUGUCUUGGUCUGUCCCUGAAUAUGAAGUGAAUCACUUAGUGACUCGUCGCCCCUCUCUCUCAAUCUCUCCUGGACGGUCGUUGGCACUAACCCUCUCCCUCUAUCCUCAAAGGUCGACGGCACCGAAUCUUUCUCCUCGAAUUAGAUCAGGUGCAAGUUCUCGUUUAAGCUUUGUUUUUGAAAAAGGUGUUGGCUUUGGUGAAUUUUUCGGGGAUUUAUGUGAUCUGGGUUUUCGUUUUAUUUGGUUUUUAUUGUGUUUUUUUUUGCUUUUCUUGCUAGCUUUGGUUGCUGGGAUAUUGAAGACAAAAUAAAAGAGAGGAAAAUGAAAUGGGCUCUGUUUGAUUGUUGGUUUGAUUUUAUUUGAGCUUCUGAAUCUGUUUCUUUCGUUCAAAUUUUGAAGACUAUAAAGAGUUAAUUGGGACGGGGCUUGGCAAUUGGAUCCAUAUAGAUUCCAAACUACUUUUAUUUUCCCUUCAUCUUCUGUUUUGAGAUUGGUCUUUGUUGUUUGGUUCUCAAAAUGUUGACGACCAUUUUUAUUGAGUUCUUGUUGUUAGAUAGUUUCUUUUGAUUCCUCGUGCAGUUCGCAUAUGUUUUAUUACUUUUUCUAGAGCAAUGAAUUAAGUAUGUGUGAUUUUGUUUUCUACUAAUUAUGUGGGCAUUGUGCUAUUUGAAUCUGAGUUUCUGAAAUUCUAUAUGAGAAUUGGGUGAAGUUUUUGAAGAGUUUCAAAGAGGCUAUGCGCUACCGAGCUAGAGUGGAAUAUAGGGCAGCGGAGGAGGUGGGCUUGGGCAGUUUAUGGAGGUGGCAGCCUCCUAGAAGUGGCCAGCUGAAGGUAAAUUGUGAUGGUGCAGCUAACAUUAAUGAUUGAUGUUUUGAUGGUGGGGUAAUUAUAAGGGAUGAGUUUGGUUCUUUAAUUGUGGCUGGUAGGGAAAAGUUUCAACAGCCAGUGUCUUCUUUGGUAGAUGUAUUACUUGCAAUUAAGGUAAGUUGGGAUUGGGUGGUGGAAAGAAGGCUAAGGAAUGUAGAGGUGGAAUCUGAUUGUUUGGAAGCUUAAGCAGAUCAGUUAGGGAUUUGAGUAUUUCUUUCACUCUGAUUCUUUGGAGGUUGGAGAGGAUACAUUGUGUCGGGAUUUGCAGUAUUUCUUCAAUUUUUUGAUUCUCUGAUUUCUUCUAUUUUUGAUUUUUUGGUGCUGUUUGAAUUUGGGUUUCUGUAUACAAGUUUGAGAUGGUUUUGAUUUGUAGUGACUUCAGUCGAGAUUUGCAGCAUUUGUUCUGUCUUCUUUGCUGUUGGUGUGUUUUAUCUUUGUCUUUUUUCUCUUGUUUUGGGUACAAAUGAAGCCUAAGGCCUGGGAAGGGGAGGGGAGGGGCUAAGUUGGCCUUGGGUUUUGAGUAAAUGUUCUAAAUGGGGUGCUUUAGUCCCAAAGUGAGUCGGCAAUUUCCAGGUCACUAGGAUCAGUAAUAAAGCAAUGAGAUAGCAAUAAUGUUCUUUUCAGGACACCAUGACAUUAUGAUCUAACAGUCGUUACUUGUAUGUACUUUUCAGCAAUCAAAUGAAGCACUAUGUCAUGCUAAAUAAAGUUUAGGGUCAACCAUUGAUUUAAUCAUAUGGUAUAUCACUCCCAGAGGUAACUAAAACGUAAGGAAUAAUUGAGCUUAUUUCUUACAUCUUAAACAUUGCUUGCAGUACCAUGGAGGAGAACUAAUUUCGGAAGAACUGCUGGAGGCCCUUUUACAGAGCCAGCCCCGGACAUAGGCUUAAUAGGCGCAGGCCUAGGGCCCCCCAAAAAAAUAUAACCCGUUUUAUAUAUAUGUUAAAAAAAAAUUAUGGACAUUUUGUGCUGGAAAAAAAAAAAAAAAUUGGUUGUUCCUGACUUUUGUUCUUCCGCCGACUGCUACUCUGAGUGCUCUCCCAAAUCCCUCUCCUCACUUUUCAGACGAAAGUCACGAAAUUCGUCCAAAAAUUUGUCCAGGUUAUGAUGCCUCCGAUUAGGAAGUAUCCUUCUGGGGUUAAAAAAAGAAAAGAGAACCAAAGGAGAGAGGCAUUGGUUAAGCUUCAAGCCGGAUCCCUUCGUGUUGAAGGAUGUACUUCAACUUUUGCUCUUUGUGGUUAGAGGACCUAUUUUGUACCAGCUUAUGAACUCACAAUUAAUGGGGAUUGGGGUGUGAAACUUCUGCUCUGUAUCUUCAAAUCAGCACAAUCAGAAUGUCAUAAAUAUUCGUUACUCGCUCUGGGGGCUGGUCUUUCAUGGAUAGACCAGACUUUUUCCUUGCAAUAUCCUUCAUUAUAAUUCAAAUGAACUUAUUUAUGCUCGACUCGACUAAUUCCAUCAGAAUAUAUGAUUCUUUUGAUAAAAUUAAAUGCUUGUGCCCUACCCCUUGCAGAUUGCUACAGCUAUAUCUGCCACUGCAACCUGGGAAUUUACAAAUAUCAAGUAUAGGUUGGGGCUGGAAGGGUGUUGUUUGGUUGUUUAACAUUGCUACUUAUAUGCUGCCUAUUAUGCACUGAGUAGACAUGCAUGCUUCAGCAACUGAACAGAAAAGGGAGGUAGAGAUUGCAAGCAUGCUGAUAUCAUUGUAGGAAAAAAAUUAUAAAGUAAAGUUCUGGAUAUUACAAAAUCUGGAUUUACAUCAGCAUGGUUGCCCCCAUGAAGUCAUUCCUCUACCUCAGAAGGUUAUCUCCCUCAGAACAUAUAUUCCCUCAAUUCUAAAUAUGGAUCUGAGCACCAAUUAAAAGGUUUACUUCAAAAAAUUGGGUUACCUCCCUCAGAACAUAUAUUCCAUUAAAUUGGGUUAAUUUAUUUACAGCUUACUCUGUUUCGUGUUUUCGAAUAUUCAAUUAGUUAUGCAGCUAAAUAUGUGAAAGAGUAUAUUGAAGGAGCAAAACCAAUUUUUUCCGUUGGGAGUAUUGGGAUUCUUGCAACUACAAUGGUCAUGGUUUGGACUACAACCAAGAUAGCCACAAACAGCGAAUAAUAAGUUGGAUUGAUGGCACAGGACAGCUGUCAACUGCAUUUGACUACACAACCAAGGGAGUUCUUCAGGAAGCUGUCAAGGGAAAAUUAUGGAGAUUACGUGAUCCCCAAGGGAAGCCACCAGGUGUAAUACAGUAGUACAGCUAGCUAGUUCCUAUUUUUAACUUGUGUCUAGUAGAAAUUCUUCCUUCAUUAAGCAUUUGGACUUGUCUGCAGAUUCAGAUUAGUAGAUAUGGACCAUUUUGAACUGAUGCUCAUGAUUAGGUUUGUGUACAUGAGACAAUAGUGGAUUAGUGGAAAUUGCAAUGAGUGAUUUUGGAUGUGGA